UUACCACACCUAAAACACUUUCCACGUGAACCGUAUCAACCCCUUCAAAUUGGGGGCUUGCUCGGCGGUGGCGUGCUGGCCUGUAAUGGGUCGGCGUGCUGUUGCUGGGUGGGCUCUAUCAUGGGCGAGCGUUUGAGCUUCGGCUCGAGCUAGUAGCUUUUCUUUUAAACCCCUUCUUGAAUAACUGAAAUACUGUGGGGACGAAAGUCUCUGCUUUUAACUAGAUAGCAACUUUCAGCAGUGGAUGUCUAGGCUCGCACAUCGAUGAAGAACGCUGCGAACUGCGAUACGUAAUGCGAAUUGCAGGAUUCAGUGAGUCAUCGAAAUUUUGAACGCAUAUUGCACUUCCGGGUUCGUCCUGGAAGUAUGCCUGUAUCAGUGUCCGUACAUCAACCUUGGUUUUCUUCCUUCCGUGUAGUCGGUGGAGGAUAUGCCAGAUGUGAAGUGUCUUGCUGGCGGUCUUUCGAGUCUGCUGGCGAGUCCUUUGAAAUGUACUGAACUGUACUCUCUCUUUGCUCGAAAAGCGUGGCAUUGCUGGUUGUGGAGGCUGUCCGUGUGGCCUAUCGGCGACCGGUUUGUUAGCUGUAGUGUAUACUGGAGGAGUGUUCGAUUCGCGGUAUGGUUGGCUUCGGCUGAACAAUCUGCUUAUUGGGUGCUUUUCCUACUAUUGCGAUGCGAACUGGUGAACCGUAGUUGUGUGGAUCUUGGCUUUUGAAUUGGCGUUGCUUGCGAAGUAGAGUGGCGGUUUCGGCUGCCGAGGGGUCGAUCCUAUUUUGGGAAAUUAUGUGUGCGGCUUCGUGCUGCGCGCAUCUCAAUUGGACUGAUAUCAGGCAAGAUUACCCGCUGAACUUAAGCAUAUCAAUAAGCGGAGGAAAAGAAACUAACAAGGAUUCCCCUAGUAACGGCGAGUGAAGCGGGAAGAGCUCAAGCUUAAAAUCUCCGUGCAAGUUUUGCACGGCGAAUUGUAGUCUAUAGAGGCGUGGUCAGCGUGGGCGCUUGGGGCAAGUUCCUUGGAAGAGGACAGCAUGGAGGGUGAUACUCCCGUUCAUCCCCGAGUGGCUCGUGCGUACGACCCGUGUUCUUUGAGUCGCGUUGUUUGGGAAUGCAGCGCAAAGUAGGUGGUAAAUUCCAUCUAAAGCUAAAUAUUGGUGCGAGACCGAUAGCGAACAAGUACCGUGAGGGAAAGAUGAAAAGAACUUUGAAAAGAGAGUUAAAGAGUACCUGAAACUGCUGAAAGGGAACCGAAUCGUUUCCAGUGUCUAUAAUCCGUGGCAUAUUUCAUUGGCGAGUGUGUGUGUGCGUGCGCUGUGGCAGUGGCUUUUUUGGCUGCGCUCAGUGCGUGUGUUACGCGUGCUUGCUGGUGCCCUGUGCUGCGGUGGGACGUCAAGGUCAGUUCGUAUGCUGCGGGAAAUGGCUGCCGAGGAGGUAGGGCUUACGCUCUGCGUUUGUCUAUUAUAUCUUGGUGGACGAGUCGUCGCGGUUGGGACUGAGGUGCCUACAACGUGCUUUUGAGUGGGUGCGUGUCUCCGUGUGCGCCAUGUGCGGAUAGCUUGCUAUGCGUGUGUGGUUGUGUGUGGAUUGAUGCGUGUCUUAACUGUCGCCGUUCGGGACGUGACGAAAA
rnacentral:rRNA from 1 species